rnacentral:lncRNA from 1 species
AUGUGGAAAAAGCAAACUCAGCCAUUUCUCCCAGCGGCUUCCCUUCAGAUAGACCUUGAUGUUCGGGAGGUCAAGCUGCUCCAGACGACCAUGGUCCAGUUCGAGGAGGUUCUGGGCUGCGUGCGCCUGGCUCUGACCUGGGCCGCCCCAGCCCAGAUCCGAGCUCUGCUGGAGGGUUUGGUGGAGCAGGAGAUCAUCUCGGAGGCCUACAGCAGGAGCCUGGCUCUGCAUCGACUCGCUGAAGGGAUCUGCAUUGACCGCGAGCCACCGUGUAGCCCAGGAACUCAGGACCACAGCCUGGAAAACCUGGAGUCGGUAUUUUUGCUGGACGAGUCCUGGACGUAUGGAUGCCAGCUCACUGACGGAUACAACCAGGACGAGGGGUGGGAAGCAGUAAUAGAUGAAGACUACCUCAGCAUCAGGUCCACACCGAGCGUGUGUGAAACACAGAGCAGCCGCGACGAUGAGAUGCCAGAAGUGCUGAGAAGUGCAGAUCCAAUGCAGAAGCCAGCAAGUGAUAGUGAAAGAGCCGAGGAGGGGAUUUCAGCCGCUGAGAGGGAGUGGUUAGAGCAGGUAGAGGAGGCAGCCCGGCGGGUGGCUGUGCCUCUGUGGCAGCACUGGGACCGAGGGCGAACGAUGCUGCUGCCUAUGCUUCCUUCUGCGCUCGCCGAACGCCAGACGAGUCAACGCUCACCCGCUGGAGAACAAUGCUGCCUUUUAAAGAUGGAAGAGGAAACGGGGCUUGCAGCAGCCUGCAGGUCGCUGGGUUUCUACACGGACAACUUCAGGGGGGUGAACGCAGACGCCUGCUCCUCGCUGGAUGCAGCUGAAACCACCCGGACGCCAGAAGACCUGUGCUUGUGUCCGGAUGGCGGCGCGGCGCUGCCCGGCCUGGACGCGGAUCCUUUCAGCGCCUUUGGGGGAGCAGGAAGUCCCUCACCGGUGGAGGACGGCGUGAAAACGAGCCCCAACGGCCUGGCAGACGAGCCGGAGGACCCUCUCCCCACAGCAGAGGAGCUGAUGAGCUGGAGCACAGAGGACGGAUUCACGCAGGUCGCAGAACUACUUUCGCCUUCUGCACUAAGAGACACUUUUACUAUUGCAACAGAGAGUUUAUGUUCUGCAACCACACACCACAGCGUGACGUCAGGCUUCACAGAAACUAUAGAAAAUGUCUUUCCAAGUGUUUUUGGCACAACACGGAGCAGCGCCGAUGCCCUGCCAGCCUCCCCUGACGGCACAGAGCAUGAGGAGAAGCUGGAGUCGCACUGGGGUGAGUUCCUGUUUGUGCAUUAA